UACGGGGGGAGCAAGCGUUGUUCGGAUUUACUGGGCGUAAAGGGCGCGUAGGCGGCCAGCACAAGUCAGUUGUGAAAUCUCCGAGCUUAACUCGGAACGGUCAACUGAUACUGUGCGGCUAGAGUGCAGAAGGGGCAACUGGAAUUCUUGGUGUAGCGGUGAAAUGCGUAGAUAUCAGGAGGAACACCGGUGGCGAAGGCGGAUCUCUGGGCCAUUACUGACGCUGAGGAGCGAAAGCGUGGGGAGCGAACAGG
rnacentral:rRNA from 1 species